AUUGAACGCUGGCGGCAGGCCUAACACAUGCAAGUCGAACGGUAACAGGAAGAAGCUUGCUUCUUUGCUGACGAGUGGCGGACGGGUGAGUAAUGUCUGGGAAACUGCCUGAUGGAGGGGGAUAACUACUGGAAACGGUAGCUAAUACCGCAUAACGUCGCAAGACCAAAGAGGGGGACCUUCGGGCCUCUUGCCAUCGGAUGUGCCCAGAUGGGAUUAGCUAGUAGGUGGGGUAACGGCUCACCUAGGCGACGAUCCCUAGCUAGUCUGAGAGGAUGACCAGCCACACUGGAACUGAGACACGGUCCAGACUCCUACGGGAGGCAGCAGUGGGGAAUAUUGCACAAUGGGCGCAAGCCUGAUGCAGCCAUGCCGCGUGUAUGAAGAAGGCCUUCGGGUUGUAAAGUACUUUCAGCGGGGAGGAAGGGAGUAAAGUUAAUACCUUUGCUCAUUGACGUUACCCGCAGAAGAAGCACCGGCUAACUCCGU
rnacentral:rRNA from 1 species